UCUAUCUAGUCUCCUCUCUAACCCCUACACAAAACAGUUGUCUCUAUCUAGUCUCCUCUCUAACCCCUACACAAAACAGUUGUCUCUAUCUAGUCUCCUCUCUAACCCCUACACAAAACAGUUGUCUCUAUCUGGUCUCCUCUCUAAACCCUACACAAAACAGUUUUGUCUCUAACUAGUCUCCUCUCUAACCCCUACACAAAACAGUUGUCUCUAUCUAGUCUCCUCUCUAACCCCUACACAAAACAGUUUUGUCUCUAACUAGUCUCCUCUCUAACCCCUACACAAAACAGUUGUCUCUAACUAGUCUCCUCUCUAACCCCUACACAAAACAGUUGUCUCUAACUAGUCUCCUCUCUAACCCCUACACAAAACAGUUGUCUCUCUAACUAGUCUCCUCUCUAACACAAAACAGUUGUCUCUCUAACUACUCUCCUCUCUAACCCCUACACAUAACAGUUGUCUCUAUCUGGUCUCCUCUCUAACCCCUACACAAAACAGUUGUCUCUCCAACUAGUUUCCUCUCUAACACAAAACAGUUGUCUCUCACUAGUCUCCUCUCUAACACAAAACAGUUGUCUCUCACUAGUCUCCUCUCUAACACAAAACAGUUGUCUCUAUCUGGUCUCCUCUCUAACACAAAACAGUUGUCUCUCACUAGUCUCCUCUCUAACACAAAACAGUUGUCUCUCACUAGUCUCCUCUCUAACACAAAACAGUUGUCUCUAUCUGGUCUCCUCUCUAACACAAAACAGUUGUCUCUAACUAGUCUCCUCUCUAACACAAAACAGUUGUCUCUAACUAGUCUCCUCUCUAACACAAAACAGUUGUCUCAACAGCAACAGAACAAUAAUCUAAUGUAUUACUCAUCAAGUCACUGUGGACAUACACUGUGUUAGGUUAUACACUGUGUGUACAAAACAUUAAGGACACUUGAUCUUUCCAUGACAUAGACUGACCAGGUGAAUCCAGGUGAAAGAUAUGAUCCCUUAUUCAUGUCACUUGUUAAAUCCACUUCAAUCAGUGUAGAUGAAGGGGAGGAGGAAGGUUAAAUAAGGAUAUUGAGACAUGGAUUGUGUGCCAUUCAAAGGAUGAACGGGCAAGAUGCAGUAUAUAAAUGUCUUUGAACAGGGUCUGGUAACAGGUGCAUGGAGCACUGGCUUGUGUAAAGAACUGCAACGAUGUUGGGAUUCCUGUGUGUUUCAAGAAUGGUCCACCACCCAAAGGACAUCUGGGCGACGUCUUUCCAAUGGGAAAACACUCCACAUUUUGAUAUGUCAGACAAAG